rnacentral:rRNA from 1 species
CAUAGCGUAAUGAAGCGAACCGGGGGAACUGAAACAUCUAAGUACCCCGAGGAAAAGAAAUCAACCGAGAUUCCCCCAGUAGCGGCGAGCGAACGGGGAGCAGCCCAGAGUCUGAAUCAGCUUGUGUGUUAGUGGAACGGUCUGGAAAGUCCGACGGUACAGGGUGAUAGUCCCGUACACCAAAAUGCACAGGUUGUGAACUCGAAGAGUAGGGCGGGACACGUGGUAUCCUGUCUGAAUAUGGGGGGACCAUCCUCCAAGGCUAAAUACUCCUGACUGACCGAUAGUGAACCAGUACCGUGAGGGAAAGGCGAAAAGAACCCCGGCGAGGGGAGUGAAAAAGAACCUGAAACCGUGUACGUACAAGCAGUGGGAGCCUCUUUAUGGGGUGACUGCGUACCUUUUGUAUAAUGGGUCAGCGACUUAUAUUCUGUAGCAAGGUUAACCGUAUAGGGGAGCCGAAGGGAAACCGAGUCUUAACUGGGCGUUAAGUUGCAGGGUAUAGACCCGAAACCCGGUGAUCUAGCCAUGGGCAGGUUGAAGGUUGGGUAACACUAACUGGAGGACCGAACCGACUAAUGUUGAAAAAUUAGCGGAUGACUUGUGGCUGGGGGUGAAAGGCCAAUCAAACCGGGAGAUAGCUGGUUCUCCCCGAAAGCUAUUUAGGUAGC